CAAUAACUUUCUCUGCUGGAAGCUACGCAACCGGGACCGGGACAAGAAGCCUUGUUCCUGCAAGUUUGGAGUCAUUUGAUGAUAUCUUAGGCUCGUCAGGAUGUUUCUACAAGAAUCAGAUUUAUCAAGAAGGGGCCUCCUGGAAUGAUGGUUGUAACUACACAUGUCGCUGUCUCGAUGGAAGGUCUGGACUGUACCAUUGUAAACGUUCUAUAUGCAAAGUCGUGAACUCUGCAAAUUUCCCCGACUCUGAGAAACUGUUACACAGCAUUUUGGGGAGGAAAAAUCAACGACAUCUUUCCCGCUUACAAUUGAAUUAGAUGUAAAAAACUUACAAGCUUUGAAUUUAAAUCUAUAUAUGUGAUGUGUCUCGUUCAGAAUAUAAUGCUUGUAAAAUAAA